AGCUUCUUAUGGCAUCUGCAGCUUUCCGUGCAAUUUCUAGGCAUGUUUCAUAAUUUGUAAGAGGAUCGUAAAAGUAUAGUUGAGUAAUACAAUACGAUAAGUAAAUUUCAACACAAGCAGUAAAUAUAUGUUGAUUUUCGAAAUCAACAUUCUUUGGAAUUGUCCCAUUUAAUUUAAUAACAUCGUAGUACUGUUUCAGCUCGUCUGGCAAGUUCCUUUCCCAAACAAUCAGUUUUCCUCGAAUGCUUAAUACGGCUUCCUUAUAGACCUCUUCACUUGCCGAAGCUAAACACUUGUAUAUUUUUUUCCUUAUUUCGUUUUUAAUAAUGGUUAACUGGAUUUCUGAACAAAAUACUAUACCACCUUGACUUGACUCUGUAAACCGAGGCAAAACAUCCAUGGAUGGAAGUUGGCAAUCAAUUUCUAGAUCACCCAAUUCCGGCGGUGUUCCAAAUAUCAGAGAGGUAGUUGUUUCGAAUAUAUAACAUGUCCAAAAAACCCGUCUAUUUAGCUCGUCAACUUCAAUGUCGACAUUAGGAUUCGUAGCUUCUUUGUGAAGAUCCAAAUCCUUAACCAUUAGGCACAUUUGACCGCACAAAACUUUGCAAAGAUUAUAUAAAGAUAAAUGUGCACAAAAUUGUAUCAUAAUUGUUAAAGCUUGGAUUUUAUCCAGGCGCGCUGUAAGAAAAAAGCCAGGUUUCUGGACCAAAAACCAACUUGUAGAGAAAAGCGAUUUUGAUAUUUUUUCUUUAUCUUUUCUUUUGCUACGGGACACCGCUAAAGCCAUAAUGGCAUAGAAGGAGACAACCCAAGCACCUUUUGUUUUUUCUUUAUCGGAAUAAAAGUUAUCAAAAAGGUCCAUAAAAUUUUCUAAAUCAAAUAAAGGCCAACAUGAAUUUAUAUAGCGAAAAUACCACUCAACACACCGAUUGGCCCAUGCUUUUUCUGGUACAUUGCGAUAUACACUAAUCCAUGUAGGGAAACUUUGAGGAAACAGAUCAUUCAUGGUGUAAUCCUUGGGAUGAAUUUGGAAAAUCCCUGGAUACCUUCUCAUUUUUUCAUCUAUUAGAAAACCGCAGUUUUGAAUUUGCUGUACAAGCGAUGGUAUCUCGUUCGACGUUUCUCUCUUUUCUGACAGAUCGUAGUUGAGCAAAUUUAGCAUAUCGUCAAUCCGAGAUUCCAUAUUAACAGAUCUUUUGCUUAACGUUAUAAUAUGAUUUCUCAGUUCAAUCAUUUCGGUGUACUCUCGAGUAAUACCAGCUGUUGACUUCUUUACAGGCGGCUGCCCGACGACGAUAUGUGGGUCAUCCUUGUCUACGUUUGGCUUCUUUACUCUUUUUCUUUUAUUAUACUUGCACGUUUCUGAGUACACUACACAAUUCUGGCAUUUUGGCAAUUCGCCGUUACACCGAAGUUUUCUUUGCCUGCACAAGUCGCAAGCUGUGCUAAUUUUUUUUAUUGGUACCAUUGUUUGCACAUUUAAAAACUUCCAACAACACAGUCUUUUAGGCGUUUUUUUGGAAUAUUAAAUUUUUUUGAAACUACUCGUACAGGGCACCUUGCAAUAUAUACAAUUUUGGAAUUUUGUGCCAUUGAUAGUAAACAAUGAUUAUCGCCGAUCGAUUUUUUCGCUUAAUUUCGAGUAUAUUUCAAUGACGCGAGCGCCAUGAUAAUAAAUGAACAUUCCUUAAAUGGGACAGAUAACAAAAUAAUCAAUCCAAUUUAUGGGUGAGAGAAUUGUUCCUUACUGCUUGGUAUCAAUUUCAACCUGCCGUUCUUCAUGUGAUCUUACAAAAAUCCAUUAGUAACAUAGCUUCAUCAUUAUAAAUACCAUGGUAAACAGCCAAAAAAUGAUAAUAAACAAGUCUAAUCAAAAAGAAUAAAUGUGAAUAUUAAUAUAAUGAAUAGGAUCAAAAGAUAAUGUUAGGAUUUGGAGCUGAAAGCAAUGGGAAGCAAAACUUUUGAAUGCUACCAAAUUAUUCCGAACAACUACUUAAAUGAAAAAAUCUUUAACAAUUGCUUGAUAUCAAACAACUUUCAUUUUAGCUCGGAAAUUCAUUUUUAAAGGCAUGAAAUAAAUAUUGGAAGGAGCCAUAAUCAUUCACAUUUUUUGUACGUUAAUUAAUAACACUAUGUUUCAAUGUCCAGGCUUACUUAUGUUAAUUUAAAUAAAUGUGUUGAAUCCCAGUUAAUUGCCUAAUGAGAUUUCGACUUUGAGGCAUUAUUUACUACCAUCCGAGGUUUUCAAUCAGGUAGUUAAAAAAACAUAAAACAAACAUCAAAAGAGGUAUAUGAUAAUUAGAGUUACAUAUACUGUAUCAUUAGAUACGUUGUCUCGAAAAAAUGAGCUUAGUGUGGCACCAAUCUUUUUUUCUUUUCUUGCAAUUUACUAGACUCCACGCAGGUGGUCAUUUUCAAAUACUGUUUGUUUCUUUAGCUGGGCAAUUUUUACCGGUAAAGUGCGCACAUUUUCCUAUCCAGCUCGUAAAUAUAUUUCAAGCAUUUUACUUCUCCUCUUUUGUUAACCACAGAGAAUAGAUAAUUAAUACACUUUCUUUUCUUAUCUCUACAGAAUCAAGUCGAUCA